AGUUUGAAUUGAACCGUGUUGUGUACGUUAUAAAUGUCAAAAGAAAAACAUAAAUAACAAGUUUUACAAAAUGGAAGCAUCAAAACAAGAAAAUAUUUCAAGACAAUCAUCGAUUUUGAAAGCUCCAAAACAGCGCCAACCCUUACAAACUGUUGCUACAAAUCCUUCUUCAUCAGAAAGUUCUCCUACUAUAAAAAUCAAGAGGCGUGUUAGUUUUGCCAAAAAUAAAAGGAUAAGAGAAUUCUGCAAUGAAGUUGAGCCAAAAGAAGGUUUGGAUGAUUCAUAUGAAGAACAUGAUCUUAGUAGCACAAAAAGCAGUAAUGGUAAUAGCACUGAUCAGCCUUUAGUUAUCAGUGUUGCAUGCGAAGACAAAGAGAAUUUUCCCAUUCAGUUAUUUUUACCUACUGAUCAAUUUGAGUGCAAAGAAAUAAUGCCAGUUCCUUGUUCUGCUAAAGGAGAUUUUUCACAAUAUGAAAUAGACAUGGAUCAUUCAAUCAAUACAUUGGAAUUUAUAAAUGCUGAAAUACAAAAUCAAGAAAUGUCUAAUGCAACAAUAUAUUUUGAUGAUGGUAUGGACAUAACAGCUUCUAUUCAACCUCAGAUCAUUUCUGCACAUAUUGAAGAAGAAGCUUGUUAUAAUGAUACUGUUCCUGUAUCUAAAACAUGUAUUGAAGAUAUUCCUAUGGAAAUGACUGAAAAUGUGCAAUCGAUACUGUCUAAAAAGUUAGUCCCUAAUCAAAGUAAAAAUCGAAAUAAUUCCUUAAAUUCUACAGAGACCUGCUCUGCAAUUUUAGGAAUUGGACAUGUAAAAAAAUUAUUAGAAUCACAACAUACUAAGCCUUUUGCAAAAAGUUGCGAAAAUGAAACUGAAUGUUUUACUGAUGUACCUUUGGAAUUUACUUCAAUAAUUCCAAGUUCUACCUGGAUAAGACCAUUUAAUCAGAGCCAAGGUGGUGAUGAAACUGAAAGAUUCAAUUGUAAAACUAUGGAAUUUACUGAAGUUGCACAACUUCAUAAUAUUAUGUCUAACAAUAAAGCAGAAGAAAUUUUAAAUACAUCAGACAAAGUCAAGAAAGUACUAUUAGCUGAUGAAAACAGUAAAAUAUCAAAUAUGUUGUUGAAACAAACUCAGCAUAAGGAAGUUUGUCAAGAAAAAAAUAAUAUCCUUUGUAAUAGCUCAACAGUAAUAAAUGAUGCCAGUUCAAACCAAAAGAUGAUCAAUCAAUCUGGUAAUGUUAAUUGUAAUUUAUUAGAGAUAAGGCCAGAAACAACCAAUUUUUUCAAUAAUGCAUCAAUGGAAAUUACUGAAGCAGUUCCUGUGUUCAAUGAAAUAAAAAUAUUGAACAGAUCAAGUAUUGAAGAAGAGAUACCACAAGAAAAAACUAAAUUUUCUAUAGAUGCAUCAAUGGAAAUGACUGAAAUUAUCACCAGUCAGAAUAAAAUAGAUCAACAUACUAGUCUUAAAAAUAAAGAACUAGAACUAGAUACAAACAAAACUAAAUUAUUUUCCAAUAUAUCUAUGGAUAUGACCGAAGCAAUUCCUAAUUGCCAGAAAAUUGAUCAUCCCAUUGAAAUUAUACCAAAAUCUCAUCAAGGAAAUAUACAUGAUAACACAAAGAUUUUUAUUAAUAAUUCAAUGGAAAUGACUGAAGCACUUGGUUUGAAUGAAAUUCAAAAAUUAAACAAUCGUAAAAAUCAAUUAAUGAUAUCAGAAAAAGAAAAAAAUCCAUUCUUUGAAAUUGCUGGAAAAAUUCAACCAGGAAAUAUACCAGAUAAAACAAAAUUUUUCAACAAUAAUUCUAUGGAAAUGACUGAAGCACUCGGUGUGAAUGAAAUUCAAAGAUUAAAUUAUUGUAAAAAUCAAUUAACGGUAUUAGAACAAGAAAACGCUCGAUUCUUUGAUAUUACUGGAAAAACUAAACUAGGAAGUGUAUCCAAUAAAUCAAAAUUUUUCAACGAUAAUCCGAUGGAAAUGACUGAAGUACUUGGUUUUAACGAUAUUCCAAAAUUAAAUCAUUGCAAACGUCAAUUAUCAGCUCCUGAGAGUGAAAAAACACAAAUCUUUUUCAAUACAUCCAUGGAAAUAACAGAAGCAGCUCCUAUGAGUAAUAAAAUUAAUAAAUCGAUACUUACUGUAAAUAAAACUCAUCACGAAACAAUACAAAAUAAAACAAAACUUUCUAAUGAUAAAUCAAUAGAGGUAACAAAUUGUGUACUCCAUAAUACUGAAAUUUCACCAGUCGACAAAUUAGACAACAAUCAAUUAUGUGAACCAAGAGAAGAAAAAACUAAAUUAUUUUUCAAUACCUCUAUGGAAAUAACUGACAGUGCAGCUGAAUUACUCAAUAAAAUUAAUCAGCCUACUGAAAAUAAGCAAAUAACUAUUCAUAAUGAAGAUGUAGCACUUCAAAAUACUGAAUUGUUACAUAAUAAAUCAAUGGAGAUUACUGAAGCAGUUCCCGUAUAUGAUAUUCAUUUAUGUACAUCUGAUAAAGGAACUAUUCAAAAAGAAUUUAUAGAAGAUAGGAACAAAAUAUUUCAAAAUACAUCGAUAGAGGUAACUGAGGCUGUACAUAAUUACAACAAAUCCGAUCUAUUGUGCAAUUCCAAAAACCAGCUUGCAGAACUAGAACAAGAACAAACAAAGUUAUUUUUUAAUUCAUCAAUAGACAUAGCUGAAGCUGCUCCAGUGAUUAGCAGAGCUCAUCAAAUUGGUUCUGAAUUGAAAAGUACACUUAGUAAAAAUAUACGAGACGAAAUAGACAAUUUUCAAAAUAAGUCAAUGGAAAUGACAGAACCAGUUAAGAAUCUCUGCAGUAAAAAUUACCAUUUUGAACAAUCUAUGUCAAAAUCUCAAAUUGAUGAUAAGCUGCAAGAAAAAUCAAAUAAAUUCCCAAAUAUGUCAAUAAUGGAAACCAUCUCUUUAAAUAGAGAAAUUUCGCAGUGCAAUACAAAAAACAGUACAGAUAUAUUGAAGCAUAAAAACCUCGGAAUUGAAACCAUCAACUCUGAUAAUAAAACCACAGAUAAAACUAAAUACUUUAAUAAGUCUAUGGAUUUCACAGAAAUUCUACCAGUAAUUAAUCAUCAAAGUAUGUCACGUUACGUUCAAAAUGAAGCUGCAAAUGUAAUAACAGACAAAACCAAACAUUUCUACAAUAAUUCAAUGGAUAUUACUGAAGCUGCAAUGCAAAAUCAAAAUUCAAUUAGCGCAAAUCCUUCAACUUUGGCCAAGUCAUUAAAAAAUUCAGAAAGAUUGCAUCAGUAUGACAGAAGCUUAUGUAAUGAUACAAAUGUUCCGAAUCCAAAUCAUUUAGACAAUAAAAAAGAUAGUGUUUUUAAUAGAUCUAGUUACAGAGACAAAAGUUUUCAACGAAUAACAACUGAUGAAUUGCAUACUUUAUGUGCAUCCAUGAAUUUGCCAACUCAAAACUACACAGCUGAAAGGAACACAACUUUACAAAAUGAUUAUAUAUCUAUAUGUAACGACGUAAAUGUUCUACGAGAUUCUUUACAAAAAAAUAGCAUUUUUCAGCAAAAUUUUACUAUUGGUAGUAGUAUCAGUGUAGCAGUAGAUAAUAAUAUACAAAUCUCUACCAAUGUCAAUGGAAGCACGAACAAACAAGAUGAUCUACAAAUAUUUUGUAACAAAAAUUGCAAUUCAGAUGAAAAAAGAGAGAUUACAAGUAAAGAAGAAUUAGACAAUUUAGUUGCUGGAUCUGAAAAAGAAUACAAUAACAGUGAAAAAGACGUUUCAAGAGAAAAAAACCUCAGAGUUUUCGAAAUAAAAUCAAUAGAAUUAAAUAGAAUCAAUAGAAAUUCGCAAGAUCAAAACGUAUCUGGUGUAUCGAAUAAAAGUAUGACAAUUGGCAAUCAUACCGAAUAUUCAGAAUCUAAUAUUUUAAAUGAGAAACAAACUUGCGGAAUAGAAAGCAAUAUUCAUUGUUUAAAUAAGAGCGAAAUAGUUCAGAUUCAUAAUAAUACUUCACCAACAUUUUCAAAUACUCAAAAAUCAUCCAUUAAAAGGAAAUCCUCGGAGAUGGAUGAACAUUUUGAAAUUGUCGAAAAUAGUUUGAAAAGAUUACCAUCAGAUAAUACAGAUUUUCUUAUAGCGACCAUGGGUAUUAGAACUGAAUUAUCCCAUCCUUUGAUUAUUAAUCAUAAAACUACGAUAAAAGUUCCUUGUACGCCUUUAGAAAAUAAUUCUCACGGUCUUAGUUUUUCUUCAGAUGAAUCGAUUCGUCUUGAAGAAAAUAUUAGUAGAGGAGAGCAUGAAAAAUCUUCAAAAAAUAAAACAACUUCUAUCAUAGAAAAUGAAGUAUUUAAUGAUGAUCGUAGUUAUUUGGAUAAAGAAAAUAACAUUUCAGAGAAUAAAGAAUGUCUUGAAAAGUUUGAAUCGUUUUCAGAAAAUUUUAUAAUGAAUGAACUCGAUGAAAUUCAACCGCCUUCGUUUUUGUGUUCAGACAGUUUUCAAACUGAUUCUAUUGUUGAUGCCGAAGUUCCAAACAAUAAAUCAUCAGAUGCCAUACCUAGUGACAUAAUUCAAGAACAAAUAAAUAUAACAUUCGAAAAUCAAUUCUGUACAGUAAACAGCAAUUCAUGUAAUUCCAAGAAUUCAUCAACACGAGAAACAAAGCAGAGUUUGGAAAAGGACUUUUUACCUUCAAUAAGUACACAUACAGUAGGCUUAGCGACGAUUUUUCAUAAAGAAAAUAGCGAAACAGUUGAUAAACUAGAAUCUUUUAACAGUUCAAAACAUGUUAAUGAUUCAGAAAUUAGUCUCAUAAAUGAAGAAGACGUUAACAUUGAUCCUCUUGCACCCUUUAUAGAAUUGACGAAAAGCAUUGAAAUUUACGAACGAAGGGACGAUUGCAUAUGGACUAUACGAAAAAUUGACCAAAAAACGGUUGCAGUAAAUUUCAUAUCCGAAUCAUUUGUAACCAUUAUAAGACUCAAUGAAAUCGAAAAAGCUUGCAUAAAAGAUAUUGAUAAUAUAGAAUUUAUAUCUCGGCUUCAUUCUGAUACGAAAAAUAUUUUAUUAAAAAUUGUUCAUUGUCUGCUACUGUCCAAAUUAAAGACUGAUAAAUUAUUAUCACAAUAUAAAAUGUAUGAAGAUGUUUUGCCAUUAUUAGAUUUCAUAUCAAAUGAAGUCAUUUUGACAAUGAAUUUUAUGUUUGAUUUGGAGCGAUUAAGUUCAUUAAAUUUAUUAAACGUAGAAAGUGAAAGAGUAUUGUUCAUGGUGUCAUCCAAAAAGGGAAAUAUAAUUUUAGAAAUUUCAUUGAUGCUUAAAGUUUUUAAUGAGAUUGGUCCUGACGAUAUAAGUGUAACAUGUGUACUAGGCGACGUCAGAAUAAGUGAUAUUAAACAGUUGAUAGUAAACAUUAGAAAAGAUUCGUCAUUCUUGAGCAGAUAUAUUAAAGAUGUUAAAGACUAUAUUAUGUUAAUGGAGGAAUCUACUCAUGUGCUGAGAUAAAAAAUAAGUUCUAUAUGCAGGAAAAAUAUUAGUGCAACUGAAGUCCGCCAAAAGCUUUCGUCCACCCUACAUUUUGAAAGGAAAUAUAAGUAUUUUUGUAAGAAACAUAAUGUUCUAUAUUUAAUUGAAAAGGCAAGAAGAACCUCUGCAGAAUUAUCUAAGAAAAGUCGAGACCAUCUUAUCAAUAGCUUUCGAUCUCUCGAUUUAACGAAAAAUGUUUCUGCUGACACAUAUUUAGGCAACCCUCAACGCCAUUUGACAAGUAUGGAAGUCGAAUUUAAUGAUGGCGACAAAGAUUCGUUUGAGCAGCCACCAUCUCAUUCAGACAUAACAGAAUGCAAAAUACAAAGAAUUUUCGUAAUUUCCAAUGAAAAUAGAACCGAUACUUACUCAACACGGCACAAGAAAAAUGUGCUUUUUAACGACCAAUCAACAAACAAAAUUAGCUUAAAUCAAUUAAUACAUCGCUUUAUUUUGUGCGAUGAAAGUGAAGAUAGUGACUACGACGAAGGAUACCCAGAAAGCGAGGAAUGUUAUGAAACUUCAAAAGAUGAAAACUUUAUUUUGUCAAAAAGUCCAGGAGGAACUAGUGUAUUUAUGAAAAAAAUUGAAGACUCUGAUGACGAAACUGAUUAUGAAAAAUGUUGUUCUCAUCACUACUGUGCUUUGAAGGAUUACUAUAACAAUAAUUUAUACGAUGCUAAUAGUUCCUUAGCUGAAGAUUAAUGAUUAACUGAUGAUUUAUGUUACUAUAAAAAGAUUAAAUAAUUCGAAAAGUUCAUUUCAAAAGAUAUAAUCUGGUGUAAAAUUCAUCUAUCAAAAUAAAAACAAUAAACACAAGUCUAACGUAAAAGACUUUGAUGAUGAUGAUAUAAAGAUUCAAUUGUUACCACGGGAAAACAUGUAAUCACGUCAAAUAA